rnacentral:rRNA from 1 species
AUUGAACGCUGGCGGCAGGCCUAACACAUGCAAGUCGAGCGAGCGGCGGACGGGUGAGUAAUGUAUGGGGAUCUGCCCGAUCGAGGGGGAUAACUACUGGAAACGGUGGCUAAUACCGCAUACCAUCAGAUGAACCCAUAUGGGAUUAGCUUGUAGGUGCGGUAACGGCUCACCGAGGCGACGAUCCCUAGCUGGUCUGAGAGGAUGAUCAGCCACACUGGGACUGAGACACGGCCCAGACUCCUACGGGAGGCAGCAGUGGGGAAUAUUGCACAAGGGGCGCAAGCCGUAUGCAGCCAUGCCGCGUGUAUGAAGAAGGCCGUAGGGUUGUAAAGUACUUUCAGCGGGGAGGCGUUACCCGCAGAAGAAGCACCGGCUAACUCCGUGCCAGCAGCCGCGGUAAUUC